rnacentral:rRNA from 1 species
UACGGGGGGGGGCAAGCGUUGUUCGGAAUUACUGGGCGUAAAGGGCGCGUAGGCGGUUCGAUAAGUCAGCUGUGAAAACCAUGGGCUUAACUCAUGGCCUGCAGUUGAGACUGUCGGGCUGGAGUGUGGGAGAGGAGAGUGGAAUUCCUGGUGUAGCGGUGGAAUGCGCAGAUAUCAGGAGGGAACACCGGUGGCGAAGGCGGGUCUCUGGGCAGUAACCGACGCUGGAGGGAGCGAAAAGCGUGGGGAGCGAACAGG